rnacentral:rRNA from 1 species
ACACGGAGGGUGCGAGCGUUGUCCGGAUUCACUGGGCGUAAAGCGCGCGUAGGCGGCUUUGUAAGUCACCUGUGAAAUCCCGGGGCUCAACCCCGUGAAAUGCAAGCGAUACUGGCGGACUGGAGAUCGGUAGAGGCUAGCGGAAUUCCUGGUGUAGCGGUGGAAUGCGUAGAUAUCAGGAAGAACACCCGUGGCGAAGGCGGCUAGCUGGGCCGAGUCUGACACUCAUCCGCGAAAGCGUGGGGAGCAAACAGGAUUAGAAACCCCGGUAGUCC